rnacentral:rRNA from 1 species
ACUACGGGUGUCAGCAGUGAGGAAUAUUGGUCAAUGGUCGGGAGACUGAACCAGCCAAGCCGCGUGAGGGAUGAAGGUACAGAGUAUCGUAAACCUCUUUUGUCAGGGAACAAAGGCGGGGACGCGUCCCCGGAUGAGUGUACCUGAAGAAAAAGCAUCGGCUAACUCCGUGCCAGCAGCCGCGGUAAUACGGAGGAUGCGAGCGUUAUCCGGAUGUCUUGGGGUUAAAGGGUGCGCAGGCGGUCUGUUAAGUAAGAGGUCAAAGCGCGGGGCUCAACCCCGGCCCGCCGUUGAAACUGGCAGGCUCGAGUUGGAGAGAGGUAUGCGGAAUGCGCGGUGUAGCGGUGAAAUGCAUAGAUAUCGCGCAGAACUCCGAUUGCGAAGGCAGCAUGCCGGCUCCACACUGACGCUGAGGCACGAAAGCGUGGGUAUCGAACAGGAUUAGAUACCCGGGUAGUC